rnacentral:rRNA from 1 species
GAUGAACGCUGGCGGCGUGCCUAAUACAUGCAAGUCGAGCGAAUGGAUUAAGAGCUUGCUCUUAUGAAGUUAGCGGCGGACGGGUGAGUAACACGUGGGUAACCUGCCCAUAAGACUGGGAUAACUCCGGGAAACCGGGGCUAAUACCGGAUAACAUUUUGAACCGCAUGGUUCGAAAUUGAAAGGCGGCUUCGGCUGUCACUUAUGGAUGGACCCGCGUCGCAUUAGCUAGUUGGUGAGGUAACGGCUCACCAAGGCAACGAUGCGUAGCCGACCUGGGAGGCUGAUCGGCCUCCCUGGGACCGAGACCCGGCCCAGACUCCUACGGGAGGCAGCAGUAGGGAAUCGUCCGCAAUGGACGAAAGUCUGACGGAGCAACGCCGCGUGAGUGAUGAAGGCUUUCGGGUCGUAAAACUCUGUUGUUAGGGAAGAACAAGUGCUAGUUGAAUAAGCUGGCACCUUGACGGUACCUAACCAGAAAGCCACGGCUAACUACGUGCCAGCCGCCGCCGUAA